GCUGCUGCUGCCUGUGCAACGAGACGAGCUGGGGUAGUUCCCUGACACUCAGGGUCAGUUUUCCCAGUGGGACCCCAAUUUUGAUGACAGCGACUUCAGAAGAUAAGAAGAUAGCAGGAGAAAGAGAUUAUGAAUUUUUGGCAACAGUACUACAGAAAUGAUGUUGGGACCUCUCCGCCUCGCAUAACACAGAGCUUCUGACACGGACAGAAGACAAAUCAUACUUACUACUAGUCGUGCUGACCUCGGCCACCAGCGAGGGUGGCGUCUACGAGGCCCCCAUGUAACAUGGCCAGGUUUUCUCUGUAGGGAAGUAGCAUGCCGGGCAGAUGGUGUAAGACCAUACCCAUCGUGUUUCUGCUCCAACUCCCACCCACACGUCAGCGCCCUCCAGUGAGUCCGGUCUAGAGCAGCAUUAUUGUGACGCCGUGUCGUGAUUUUCUACUUUCCCCUUCCCUUCUUCCUCUGGUAACUGGAUUCUACCGUAAAGAGGGGCUUUCCCUAACCCUCCGUGUGCUUGUUUAAUCCACUGCUUCUUUGGGUCAGAAGGGCACGCGGAUACGUCUCUCGUUCUUCGGUCUACAGUCCGGGAACUUGCACUGCGUUGCUGCUGAAGCAGUCCCAGCUUGUAGUACCGUGGGUCCCUUGGGGUGCUCCUGCACCCUGGCAGAGCCCUCGCCUGGUUUUGUUCAUGUUUCGAGCACUUUCUUACAUUCUGGCCCCACAAGAUGCUCCAGGUCCAUCCAGGGGACUCGCCACCCCAGCCCUGGCGCUGGCCACCUUCCAGGAGGCCUGGUUCCUUUACUGGACGAUGGCCUGGCCUCUCGGCCCACACAGGAAGCGCACAGACAGGUACUAACCACACAGUCCACUUAUCUGUAUCUUUGUGCAUGCAGGUUAAAGACCACAAGUUUUACGCAGACCCGGGGGUGGGGUGUGGGCACCUACACUACAGGGCCCGUUCCAAGGCUUCCUCCUCUGCUUCUGACCUCUUUCUCCAGUUCUCACCGACAGAGACUUGUGCUAUGGCUCAGUUCUCUUACACAGAUCAAACAGCCUCAGAAUCCCUAGACCACAGCCCUGAGGGUACCCCCUUCGCCACCUUCCCGGGUGGGGCGCCUUCGUCUGCAGACUCAUCUCCGAGCCUGGUUUCCAUUUCGGGUGCUCGCCCAGUCCGGAUCGGGCUCAGCUGCUCGCUUCCUUUGGGGUAUGUGAAGCACCACUUGGGUUCCAUCAGAAGCUGUCUUCCCCGGGGUCCUCGCCACCCUGCCCAUCCCCUGCCCACCCGCCUCUGCAGUUUCUGGCUUAUUCUGCCUGCCUUGUCCGCAAGUGAGCAGACGCCCAUUGCCUUCCUUCCGAGAAGAAAGGAAGCCCUGCGGGUGGUCUGCGCUUCUUCUCUCAACAGACCGGCGGUACAGCACGCGCUUCCGUUUAGCGGGAUCCUCCUCCCACCCGGCGGCUCUCCUCUCUGCGACGGGCUGGCGGCCACCGUUCCCGGGGUCGCUCUCUUAGUCCAGAGGUUAGGUUGUUCCUAAUGUUUUGCAGUGACACCUGGUGUGACAACAAACCCCCGUGUGUGUGCGUAUUUCGCAUCGUUUGAAGGGCGUCUUCAGGAUAGAUUUCGGGAACUAUCGCCUGGUCAAAGGUUUCCACUUCCUGCGCUGGCAGCCGCUUUCCUGGGGAUCCUGGGGAUGGGUGGGGUGCUGCCUCCAGGGCCCUGCUGGGCGGGGUCCCCUCCUCAUCAAGGCCUGGGGUCCAGCCUCCAUGGUGGGGCUGUAGGCAGAAGCCACAGCCUGAGGUGUGCUGCUCUCGGGGGUGACCACUGACCAGAGAGACUUCCCCACCGCCUCCCCUCUCUCCCUUGGACACCCCAGUCUCUGCUCCUGGAGCAUCCUGGGGUUUUGCCCAGAAAACCUCUGGGAGGCGGAAAGAGCCUCAGCUGUGAGCCUGCAGCUCUGGUGAUGGGAAAAUCCUCUUCGGGGAGUUCCCUGGUGGCCAAAUGGCUGGGAUGCAGGGCUAUCGCCACCGCAGCCCAGGUUCAACCCCUUGUCUGGAACUGAGAUCCCACAUCCAGCCACUGACGAUGUGGCCAAAAAAAGAGAAUCAUAUUCAUCCUUGCACCCUUUUAAAGGAGCGCGACCCUGUGUGUGUUGAUUUAACCCUAGAGGGCUGAAAACUCCGGCAGGGAGAGGAAGGCAGGGACCCAAAGUGCUCAGGGGACCCCUAGCCCCUGCUGCCUCUCCCUCCAACUCCAGGGCCACGGAUAGAAGACCCUGAGAAGGAUUUUGUCCUUAAACGGAAGGGGAGCAGGAUUUGCCGGCUUUGGCAGAAGGCUUAUUUUGAGCUAAAGGCAUCAACAUCGGGCAGCUUCAGGCAAAGUGCUUUACCUGCCCUGUGGCCACUGUGUGACGUACCAGGAGGCUGGAUGGGGAAGCGGUGUAGACUUACUGCAAACAGAGAAGCCUUUCUUUCACAUCCUUUUGUGCCCCCAGGCCCCACCCCUCUCCUUAGCUCAGGAAGUUAGAAAAGCCACAAUUACCGGCUGCCCUUUGGGUCUCAUGGGUGUUUUUCUUUUGGUUUGGUUUUUGGCCCAUGGCACAAGGCAGUGCCAAUUCCAGUCUCAUGGUCGCAUGUCUUUAGGGGGCUCCGAUACACGCAAAAUUUGUUUUUCUUCUGCUACCUUGUUUUAUAUCAAUUUAAUUAUUACACAAGCCAAAAACCCUAGAAGGGAAGAAGGGGAAAGCCUUCCCACCCCAACACACACACAGCAAAACCGACUGUUUUUUCAUUGUUGAAGCGUUCCCAGACCGUGAGCCCAAACCCUGCAAACCCAGGCUGGCUCAUGUGUAGGGAGUCCAUCCCACCUCCCAGCUGCCUCCCCGCCCAUAAAUCAUCAGAAACAGCAGCAACAGGACAAAGCUCUGACUUUCCCAACAUUUGCCACUGUUCUCUUUCCUAGUACUUGAACUUUUUUUGGAUUUGAACUUGAGAACUUUAGUUCAGUUCCUUUGAGGCUUAGAUUACUGUAGGAAGAAUCAAUGCCUGUACCGUAAUUUCUCCUAGGAUAGGGUUUAUAUUCAAAUUUGGGCUAUCACAGCAUCACAGCCUCUUGGCGCUGGAAAGUGUAGUUUCCGCUGCACUGGAUGACGCAGUUGAGGGUAAGGUGGGGUGGAAAGCAGGAUGAGAUGGGAACCGGGGCCCCAGUUCGUCUGAAGAACAGUCUGUUCUUGUCCAUGUCAAGAUGUUAAGGGGGCGAAGACCCCCAGCCCCCCGCAGAGGGUCCCCACAGGGCUGCCACCUGGAGGGAGGCAGGGCCCAGCCUGGUGGACGCUGCUUCUCAGCGGGGCAGCCUGGUGGGACCUUGGCAUCAGGCCACACUGGUUAAGGAAGCAAAGGCCGGGGCCUGGGGGCUGGGCCCUGCUUAUCUCUUUGGAGGUUGGGAGGGGUCUUCUGGGAGGAGCUGAAAGGCAGGAGAUUUCACCCACGUGCAGGCUGACAAGUGAACCUAAAACGGUUUUAGAGGACAGAGCCCCUGGUCAGGGGGAAACAACACCCCACUGCCCACAACACAUCCUCGGGUGUUCCCACAGGGGCCUGCAGACCCGAGCAGAGGAAUCGAAGGCUUCUGCGCCCACAUCACCUUUGCCCCAAGGGCCACCUCCUACCGCCUGCAGCCCCUCUCCUCCUCCUCCUCCUCCUCCUCACCAGAUGGCCCGUGGUCUAGGGAGACAGGGCACCCAGACCGCUGCCAGCAGGCUCACCGGCUCUGAGGUUCAGGCAGGCUCCAGGGAGCUGCCUUCGCAGCCGGAGGUUGGAGGGGCUCCCCAAGGCUCAGAUCUGAGGGGAAAUGUUGGGGCCCCACCCGUGGCCCCUUUUCUAAGCUGGGCUCCCCGUCACAAGUUCAGCAAAGGAGAUGCCCCAGUCCCCGCCGCCCCCCCUCUUCCUCUGCUGGUCUCAGAGGGGAGCACGCCCACAAACCCACCCUCGCGUCUCCUGUACUUUCACCUCUUCUCACAAACAAAGCUCUGCUGCCCUCAGGGCCCGACAGACCUUUGCGCCCGCGCCCCUCCCACUUCCCGGCCUCCCGGCCUCCGGGCCUCCCCGCUCCCCCGCCUCCCGCGAGCCGGCGCCGUCACUUCGGGGAAUCGGCGGGGGUGGAAGCGGCAGCCAC